rnacentral:rRNA from 1 species
UGCAUAUCAAAAAGCGGAGGAAAAGAAACCAACAGGGAUUGCCUUAGUAGCGGCGAGUGAACAGGCAAGAGCUCAGAUUUGAAAGCCUUUCGGGGCAUUGUAUUCUGAAGCCUUGGUCCUGGGAAACCGAUGUCUAAGUCUUCUGGAAAGGAGCGCCAUGGAGGGUGAUAGCCCCGUACGACAUUGACCCCACUGUAGGACCUUGGCAUGGAGUCGAGUUGUUUGGGAAUGCAGCUCAAAUGGGUGGUAUGCUCCAUCUAAAGCUAAAUAUCUGCGAGAGACCGAUAGCGAACAAGUACUGUGAAGGAAAGAUGAAAAGAACUUUGAAAAGAGAGUGAAAAAGUACGUGAAAUUGUUGAAAUGGAAGGGUAGGCCGCUAACCACGUAGAGUCGUGUUUGGGGGGAAGAUAAAAGCUGAAGAAUGUAACUCCUUGGAGUAUUAUAGCUUCAGUCCAUAUUCCCACCCGAGCGCGAGGACUUAAGACUCUGCUAAAUGGUGGUCUACCACCCGUCUUGAACCACGGACCA